rnacentral:lncRNA from 1 species
UCCCACCAUUCCCCUGCCUCAGCCUCUCGGGUAGCUGGGACUACAGGCGCCCGCCACCACGCCCGGCUAAUUUUUUGUAUUUUUAGUAGAGACGGGGUUUCACCAUAUUAGCCAGGAUGGUCUCGAUCUCCUGACCUCGUGAUCCGCCCGCCUUGACCUCCCAUAGUGCUGGGAUUACAGGCGUGAGCCACCUGGUCUUGAUCUUUUGACCUUGUGAUCCACCCACCUCGGCCUCCCAGAGUGGUGGGAUUACAGGCGUGAGCCACUGUGCCUGGCCCUAAUUUUUAUAUUUUUAGCAGAGACAGGGUUUUACCAUGUUGGCCAGGCUGGUCUCGAACCCGUGGCCUCAAGCAAUCUGCUCACCUCUGCCUCCCAAAGUGCUGGGAUUAAAGGCAUAAGCCACCAAUCCAGGCCUCGGGAUUUAAUUAUUUUGUUCUGCUGAUAAAAUGACAUUUAGGCUAGGUGAGGUGUCUCACACCUGUAAUCCCAGCACUUCAGGAGGCUCAGGUGGGCAGAUCACCUGAGGUCAGGAGUUCAAGACCAUCCCGGCCAACAUGGCGAAACCCCAUCUCUACUAAAAAUACAAAAAAACUAGCCAGGCUUGGUGGCACGCACCUGUAGUCCCAGCUACUUGGGAAGCUGAGGCAUGAGAAUCGCUUCAACCUGGGUGGUGGAGGUUGUUGUGAGACAAGAUCGCUCCACUGCACUCCAGCCUGGGCAACAGAGCAAGACUCCCUCUCAAUUAAAAAAAAAUGACAUUUAUUCACACGGAAAAUAUUCGAGUUCCAACUAUGUGCCUCCGACUUGCUUGGUAUAAAUCAGAGAACAAAAUAUCUAUGGCCGGGUGCACUGGUUCAGGCCUCUAUUCUCAGCACUUUGGGAGGCUGAGUAGCGGGGAUAGCUUGAGCUAAUGAGUUGGAGACCAGCCUGGGCAACAUAGUGACACCCAGUCUGUACAAAAAAUACAAAAAUUAGCUGGGCAUGGUGGCGCCCACCUGUUGUAGUCCCAGCUACUCAGGAGGCUGAGGCAGGAGAAUCACUUGAACGCGAGAGGCGGAGGUCGCAGUAAGCCCAGAUCGCAGCACUGCACUCAAGCCUGAGCAACAGAGCCAGAUUCCGUGAAAGGGGGAAUAAAAAGAGCUAUCGUUGUUGGCUAAGUUAAAUGCACUUUGACAAACAUGUUGUGUAAUGACCACCAUAGUCAAGAUAUAGAGUAGUUCCAAAAUAUUUCCACUUUUAUUUUUUUUUUGAGACAUUCUCGCUUUGUUGCCUAGGCUGGAGUGCAGUGGCCUGAUUAUCACUGCAACCUCCACCUCCCGUGUUCAAGUGAUCCUCCUGUCUCAGCUUCCAGAGUAGCUGGGACUACCGGUGGGUGCCACCACUUCUGGCUAAUUUUUUUUUUUUUUUUUUUUUUUUGAGAAGGAAUCUCACUCUGUUGCCUAGGCUAGAGUGCAGUGGUGCAAUCUUGGCUCACUACAACCUCCAGCUCCCAGGUUCAAGUGAUUCUCCUGCCUCAGCCUCCCGAGUAGCUGGGACUAUAGGCGUGUGUCACCACACCUGGCUAAUUUUUUGUAUUUUUAGUAGAGACGGGGUUUCACCGUGUUAGCAAGGAUGGUCUUGAUCUCCUGACCUCGUGAUCCGCCUGCCUCGGCCUCCGAAAGUGCUGGGAUUACAGGCAUGAGCCACCGUGCCUGGCCUAAUUUUUGUAUUUUCAGUGGAGACCGGGUUUCACCAUUCUGGCCAGACUGGUCUCGAAUUCCUGACCUUAAGUGAUCCACCUGCCUUGGCCUCCCAAUGUGUUAGAAUUACAGGCAUGAGCCACUGUGCCUGGCUUUAUUUCCACUUUUCUUUGACAAUCCUCUCCUCUCAUCUGCAACCCUUGUCAACCACUGAUCUGUUUUUCUAUCUCUGUAGUCUUGACUUUUCCAGAAUAUUAUAUAAAUCGGGUCAUAUAGUAUGUAGCCUUUUGAGUCUGACUUCCAUCACUUACCUUAAUGCAUUUAAGAUUCAUUCACAUUGCACGUAUAAGUAAUGUAUUUCCUUCUUUUCUUUUUUCUUUUUUUUUUUUGAGACAGAGUCUCUCUCUUGCCCAGGCUGGAGUGCAGUGGUGUGAUCUCAGCUCACUGCAACCUCCACCUCCUGGGUUCUAGCGAUUCUCCUGCUUCAGCCUCCCGAGUAGCUGGGGUUACAAGCACCCGCCACCACGCCCAGCUAAUUUUUGUGUAUUUAGUAGAGCUGGGUUUUGCCCUGUUGGCCAGGCUGGUCUUGAAUACCUGACCUCAAGUGAUCUGCCCCCCCGACUUCCCAAAAUGCUGGGACUACUGGCAUGAGCCAGUGCUCCUGUCCUCAUUCCAUUCUUCACCGUGGUACUGACCAUCCAUUUAUUCAGCACCAAUUGUGUGCCAGACCUUGUGUCAGCAUUAUGGAGGACUUCCCUUGGGAGGCUUGUUAGCUGUACUUGCAAUCUGAUUUGGGUUCCCAAAUCAGCAUAUAACACCAGGUAUUUCUCUAAUAGAGUAUGUGCCACACUUUCUGCUAACUGCCUGUUUAUCAGUGUCCCCACAUCCCAAUAUCUGGUUCCUUCAAGGGCAGGGAGCACAGGGUAUGGCGUCAGAGUGGUACUCAGUGAUGUUUACUGGUGGGUAGAAGGAAGGGUUAGUCCCUGUUUUUGAAGACUUUAUGUUCUAGCAGGCAGAAAUGAAGCACAAAUAGUUCAAGAAAUAAACAAUUUAGGAAUAAAGUCAUUUGGUUUGCUUCGCAGAAAUGUCUUAUUGCUGAUUUGCCAGCAUGAGUGGCAAAUAUAUAAUAAAACCUGGCCGGGCAUGGUGGCUCACGCCUGUAAUCCCAGCACUUUGGGAGGCCAAGGUGGGCGGAUCACGUGGUCAGGAGAUCGAGACCAUCCUGGC